GAUGAACGCUGGCGGCGUGCCUAAUACAUGCAAGUCGAGCGAACAGACGAGGAGCUUGCUCCUCUGACGUUAGCGGCGGACGGGUGAGUAACACGUGGAUAACCUACCUAUAAGACUGGGAUAACUUCGGGAAACCGGAGCUAAUACCGGAUAAUAUAUUGAACCGCAUGGUUCAAUAGUGAAAGACGGUUUUGCUGUCACUUAUAGAUGGAUCCGCGCCGCAUUAGCUAGUUGGUAAGGUAACGGCUUACCAAGGCAACGAUGCGUAGCCGACCUGAGAGGGGGGUGGGCAAGAGGGGAAGUGGGACAGGGCAAAGAGGGAGAAGGGAAGCAGCAGGAGGGAGACGUGAGCAAGGAGCGAGAGACAGAGGGAGAAGAGCCGAGUGAGUGAUGAAGGUAUUAGGAUCGUAAAAAGAUGUUAUUAGGGAAGAACAAAGGGGGAAGUAAAGAAGCAAGAAUUGACGGUACAUAAACAGAAAGCCACGGCUAAAGACGUG
rnacentral:rRNA from 1 species